rnacentral:rRNA from 1 species
UUUGUAUAAUGGGUCAGCGACUUAUAUUCAGUGGCAAGGUUAACCAUCUAGGGGAGCCGUAGGGAAACCGAGUCUUAACUGGGCGUUCAGUCUCUGGAUAUAGACCCGAAACCAGGUGAUCUAGCCAUGGGCAGGUUGAAGGUUGAGUAACAUCAACUGGAGGACCGAACCGACUAAUGUUGAAAAAUUAGCGGAUGACUUGUGGCUAGGGGUGAAAGGCCAAUCAAACCUGGAGAUAGCUGGUUCUCCCCGAAAGCUAUUUAGGUAGCGCCUCGGACGAAUACUACUGGGGGUAGAGCACUGUUAAGGCUAGGGGGUCAUCCCGACUUACCAACCCUUUGCAAACUCCGAAUACCAGUAAGUACUAUCCGGGAGACACACGGCGGGUGCUAACGUCCGUCGUGGAGAGGGAAACAACCCAGACCGCCAGCUAAGGUCCCAAAUUACUACUAAGUGGGAAACGAUGUGGGAAGGCUCAGACAGCCAGGAUGUUGGCUUAGAAGCAGCCAUCAUUUAAAGAAAGCGUAAUAGCUCACUGGUCGAGUCGGCCUGCGCGGAAGAUGUAACGGGGCUAAGUAGUAAACCGAAGCUGCGGCAAUAUACUUUUGUAUAUUGGGUAGGGGAGCGUUCUGUAAGCGGUUGAAGGUGUGUGGUAACGCAUGCUGGACGUAUCAGAAGUGCGAAUGCUGACAUGAGUAACGAUAAAGGGGGUGAAAAACCUCCUCGCCGGAAGACCAAGGGUUCCUGUCCAACGUUAAUCGGGGCAGGGUAAGUCGACCCCUAAGGCGAGGCCGAAAGGCGUAGUCGAUGGGAAACGGGUUAAUAUUCCCGUACUUCUUACAAUUGCGAUGGGGGGACGGAGAAGGCUAGGUGGGCCUGGCGACGGUUGUCCAGGUUCAAGUGCGUAGGCUUAAGAGUUAGGUAAAUCCGGCUCUUUCUAAGGCUGAGACACGACGUCGAGCAUCUACGG